CAUUUCCAGAACCCUCCUCUGCACCAACACUAGACGAGAGCUCUCCAGCGGCUGAGAGCACCAAUAUCCAACAUUUGGUGGUAGAGCAGACACUUCAAGAGUGGCAAUCUCUACGUUCCCAGCAAGACCAAGAGUAUAAUGAAUCUUUGUUAGCAGACCAAGAAAAGGAAAGGAGAAAACAGUGUUACAAGGCCUGGGAGGAAAGACGUAAAAAGG